rnacentral:rRNA from 1 species
CACGUAGGGCGCGAGCGUUGUCCGGAAUUAUUGGGCGUAAAGAGCUCGUAGGCGGCCUGUUGCGUCCGCUGUGAAAGCCCGGGGCUUAACCCCGGGUCGGCAGUGGAUACGGGCAGGCUAGAGGUAGGUAGGGGAGAAUGGAAUUCCCGGUGUAGCGGUGAAAUGCGCAGAUAUCGGGAGGAACACCGGUGGCGAAGGCGGUUCUCUGGGCCUUACCUGACGCUGAGGAGCGAAAGCGUGGGGAGCGAAACAGG